rnacentral:rRNA from 1 species
GAUGAACGCUAGCGGCAGGCCUAAUACAUGCAAGUCGUGGGGCAGCAGGGGUAGCAAUACCCGCUGGCGACCGGCAAACGGGUGCGGAACACGUACGCAACCUUCCUUUAAGUGGGGAAUAGCCCAGGGAAACUUGGAUUAAUACCCCGUAAUAUUUUUGGGUGGCAUCACCUGAUAAUUAUAGCUCCGGCGCUUAAAGAUGGGCGUGCGACUGAUUAGGUAGUUGGCGGGGUAACGGCCCACCAAGCCUACGAUCAGUAACUGGUGUGAGAGCACGACCAGUCCAAAGGGCAAUGAGACACGGGCCCGACUCCUACGGGAGGCAGCAGUAAGGAAUAUUGGUCAAUGGACGCAAGUCUGAACCAGCCAUGCCGCGUGGAGGAUGAAUGCCCUCUGGGUUGUAAACUCCUUUUAUCUGGGAAGAAACCUAUACAUUCUUGUGUAGUUGACGGUACCAGAGGAAUAAGCACCGGCUAACUCCGUGCCAGCCGCCGCCGUAAGAC